rnacentral:rRNA from 1 species
UACGAAGGGGGCUAGCGUUGCUCGGAAUCACUGGGCGUAAAGGGUGCGUAGGCGGGUUCUUAAGUCAGAGGUGAAAUCCUGGAGCUCAACUCCAGAACUGCCUUUGAUACUGGCGAGCUUGAGUUCGGGAGAGGUGAGUGGAACUGCGAGUGUAGAGGUGAAAUUCGUAGAUAUUCGCAAGAACACCAGUGGCGAAGGCGGCUCACUGGCCCGAUACUGACGCUGAGGUGCGAAAGCGUGGGGAGCAAACAGG